UGGCAUUCAGAGAAUUCACCUGGCUGCUUUGGGAAUGCAGUCCUGCUCUGGAAAAGUUUACUCCUUGUUGAAGAUAUGAUCUUGAGUUCCGCAGGAGUCCUGGCAUAGCAAACGAUUAGUGUUUAUCAAAACAAACCAAAUUAGUGGGCUUUGUAAGCAGUGUGACUUUGGGCAGAAGAACUUGCCUUUUUAAGGACAUGAUGCAGAGCAAGUUUGAAAUGAUGAUCAACUCUUGGAAGAUUUGACUUCUCUGAUGAAUUCAUUGAUCCAAGACAGUCCAAAGGGCCCAUGAUGAAAAAAUGCCAUCCACCCAGCCCGAGAACUGACCAACUAGACAAAACCUGAGAGUCAGAUGGAUGAAGUAACGUGCCCAGGAGGGUCUACAGCAGGAUUCAAAGCCAAGCCUUCCUGGCUUCUGGUCCAUUCCUUUAUCAUUGUGAGGCUCAAAAGAGGCAGUAUAAAGUGUCUUGGAAAACAGCAUAAACGACAACGCUCACUGUUUGCAGUAACAAGGUUGACCCAUUCCACUGUUUGCUGGCCAGAGGGCAUCUGGAGUACCGGCUCUGAUUUGGGGCCACACAUUUCAAAAAGGAUUUUGACAAGCCAGAAACAAGCUUCCGUUCAGCAGAGUAGGGUGGGUGCAUGGGCACGUGAGUGCAAGGAUGGUGGAGACAAAGGGAUUCAUUUGCCCUGUGAGCAUCAGCUGAAGGACCUCAGGUUACCUGGCCUGGAAAACAGAAGACUUACAGGCAUUGGAAGGAGGAGAGGAUCUGAUGAACUGUUUGGCCCCAGGGGGCACUAGGACCCAAAGGCAGGAGUUACAAGGGAGCAGAUGUGGGCUCAAAGGAAUGAAAGCAAGGGCCCAGACUGAAUCUUGAAUUUCCCUUCACCCAAGUGAUCUAUUACUGCAGAGGCUGUAGAAGACAUUCUGGUAUGGAUCCAGAGGUUGGACCGACCAGUCUUGAAGGUCCUUGCAAUUAGAAUAUUCAUGCUGACUUUAUCCUAGUGGCUGCCAACUCUUUGAACCCAGCAUAAAGUAAAAAAGGAAGUGAACUAGGGCCAGCUGCCCAGGGCAGAAAAGAAAUCCACUUCCCCUUAGUGUUGGCCCUUGCCUUGUCCAGAUCAGGACAGACUUCCUUGAGGCCAGGUACUGGCUUUGACUGGCUUUGUAUAACACCAGGGAUAUGAGGGAAACUGGCUUUACCCCCCUGAAGCUUAACCUCUAAUUGAGAGUCAAGACUAAUUAGACACAAAAUCUAGGAUCCUAGCCUGGGAGGUGGGAAGCAGGGAGGAGGCCAGUGUUGGCUGGAGCCCCUGGAAAAGGAUUAAUGGAAGAGCCCCUUGAACCGGGUCCUGAGGGGAGGGAGGGAUUUGGGGAGGCAGGAGAAGGGCACUUCCGGUGAAGGGCAGUGUCUCAUGUUCCCUUCAGAGGCCAGCGAUGAUGCCACCUCACCUUUGCGUUUAGCCUCAAUGUUUUCAAAGCAGUGCUACCAAGUUCUCCCAUUGGCUUUAUGAAAUCUUGGAGACCUUAAAAGAGCCAGGGGACAGUCUCUGGUGCACUGGGGCAGUCCCCUUCGGAGGCCCAGGUUUGCACACGGCCAAUGCAGUGAUUGUUACAUGCCUAUUUGCCACGAGUCUUUUGCAUUUUUUUUCUUUUUCCCCAGUGUGGGAGAAAAAGAUAAUAGAUUGAAAAAAAUAAUAAAAAUAACACAGAGGCAUGGGCAAGAA